rnacentral:rRNA from 1 species
CUACACAUGCAAGUCGAACGGAUCCUUCGGGAUUAGUGGCAGACGGGUGAGUAACGCGUGGGAAGCUACCUUGUGGUAGGGGACAACAGUUGGAAACGACUGCUAAUACCCUAUGAGCCCUAUGGGGGAAAGAUUUAUCGCCAUGAGAUGUGCCCGCGUUAGAUUAGCUAGUUGGUAAGGUAAUGGCUUACCAAGGCGACGAUCUAUAGCUGGUCUGAGAGGAUGAUCAGCCACACUGGGACUGAGACACGGCCCAGACUCCUACGGGAGGCAGCAGUGGGGAAUAUUGGACAAUGGGGGCAACCCUGAUCCAGCCAUGCCGCGUGUGUGAUGACGGCCUUAGGGUUGUAAAGCACUUUCAGCAGUGAAGAUAAUGACAUUAACUGCAGAAGAAGCCCCGGCUAACUUCGUGCCAGCAGCCGCGGUAAUACGAAGGGGGCUAGCGUUGUUCGGAAUCACUGGGCGUAAAGAGUACGUAGGCGGACUGAUAAGUUAGGGGUGAAAUCCCAAGGCUCAACCUUGGAACUGCCUUUGAUACUGUCAGUCUUGAGAUCGAGAGAGGUGAGUGGAACUCCGAGUGUAGAGGUGAAAUUCGUAGAUAUUCGGAAGAACACCAGUGGCGAAGGCGGCUCACUGGCUCGAUACUGACGCUGA